GUGAGUAGUUCAGAGUUUGAUCCUGGCUCAGGAUGAACGCUAGCUACAGGCUUAACACAUGCAAGUCGAGGGGCAGCACUAGGUAGCAAUACUGAGGUGGCGACCGGCGCACGGGUGCGUAACGCGUAUCCAACCUUCCCGUUACUCAGGGAUAGCCUUCCGAAAGGGAGAUUAAUACCUGAUGGUAUUCAAAUUUCGCAUGUUAUUUGAAUUAAAGAUUUAUCGGUAACGGAUGGGGAUGCGUGACAUUAGAUAGUAGGCGGGGUAACGGCCCACCUAGUCUACGAUGUCUAGGGGUUCUGAGAGGAAGGUCCCCCACACUGGAACUGAGACACGGUCCAG
rnacentral:rRNA from 1 species